rnacentral:rRNA from 1 species
AUUGAACGCUGGCGGCAGGCCUAACACAUGCAAGUCGAGCGGAUGAAGGGAGCUUGCUCCUGGAUUCAGCGGCGGACGGGUGAGUAAUGCCUAGGAAUCUGCCUGGUAGUGGGGGAUAACGUCCGGAAACGGGCGCUAAUACCGCCUACGACCUGAGGGAGAAAGUGGGGGAUCUUCGGACCUCACGCUAUCAGAUGAGCCUAGGUCGGAUUAGCUAGCUGGUGGGGUAAAGGCCUACCAAGCCGACGAUCCGUAACUGGUCUGAGAGGAUGAUCAGUCACACUGGAACUGGGACAGCGUCCAGACGCCUGCGGGAGGCAGCAGUGGGGAAUAUUGGACAAUGGGGGAAAGCCUGAUCCAGCCAUGCCGCGUGUGUGAAGAAGGUCUUCGGAUUGUAAAGCACGUUAAGUUGUGAGGAAGGGCAGUAAGUUAAUACCAUGCUGGUGUGACGUUACCAACAGAAUAAGCACCGGCUAACUUCGUG